AGGAAGGACAUAGGUGUUUCCCUCUGCCUGAGAAAUGUUUCUGAGACAUUUUUCCUCCAAGGGAACGAACUAAAACCCCAGGGAUGCAUGGAAACAAAGGAAAAAAAAGACUCAGAAAACAAGAUGGUGUAUGAAAAUUUUUUAGAACUACUCAAAGUCAGUAAUAAAACUUUAGAGUGCUGUAGACUUGGCUGCAUCAUGAGGGCACCAUUAAUGGCGAACCUGGCACUUGACAUAGAGGACAUUUCAAGCAACUUAGCUGAAGUCACCUGCAUUUUCUACCUCAUAUCCAUCCCAUAUUUAUUUGGAGUGCU
rnacentral:lncRNA from 1 species